rnacentral:lncRNA from 10 species
GGAGGGGAGAGAGACUGGAGAUUGGCCUAAACACCAGUGGUCAAUGAUUUAAUCAAUUAUGGCUACAUAAUGAAGCUUCCAUAGAAAAAAACAAAAGGAUGGAGUUCAGAGAGCUUCUGGGUUGGGGCUAUUAUGAAAAACAUAAAAGGUGUGCGGAAAAACACGGCUUCUGCUGGAGAUGGAAAAAGGACUCUGGGGAGGACAAGAUGCCUCAUGUCAAAGCAACAAGGUUCCAGUGAAGAGCUGCAGGCCUCAGAGGCAGGCAUUUGCUGUCAUUCAGGAAAAGGAUUUUAUCAGGUUAUUUCAUCAAAAAGAUCGGAAGCCUAAAAACAGCAUUGUUAGGGAACUGGCAGCUCAAGACAAAGAAGCCGAACCAGAAGAGGGCACUCUUACCACAGAGAUUUACAGCUAAUGGUUUUUUUUUUUUUUUUUUUUU